rnacentral:rRNA from 1 species
AAAGGAAUAGACGGGGGCCCGCACAAGCGGUGGAGUAUGUGGUUUAAUUCGAAGCAACGCGAAGAACCUUACCUGGGCUUGACAUCCUCUGAAUACAGUAGAGAUAUUGUCGGCUCGCAAGAGACAGAGAGACAGGUGCUGCAUGGCUGUCGUCAGCUCGUGUCGUGAGAUGUUGGGUUAAGUCCCGCAACGAGCGCAACCCUUAUCCUUAGUUGCCACCAUUAAGUUGAGCACUCUAAGGAGACCGCCGGUGAUAAACCGGAGGAAGGUGGGGAUGACGUCAAGUCCUCAUGGCCCUUAUGUCCAGGGCAACACACGUACUACAAUGGCUGAAACAAACCGACGCAAACUCGCAAGAGAUAGCAAAUCGGAAAAACACAGUCUCAGUUCGGAUUGUGGUCUGCAACUCGACCACAUGAAGUUGGAAUCGCUAGUAAUCGCAGAUCAGCAAGCUGCGGUGAAUACGUUCCCGGGCCUUGUACACACCGCCCGU